rnacentral:rRNA from 1 species
CCUACGGGAGGCAGCAGUGAGGAAUAUUGGUCAAUGGGCUUACGCCUGAACCAGCCAAGUCGCGUGAGGGAUGACUGCCCUAUGGGUUGUAAACCUCUUUUGUCAGGGAGCAACGCCGGCUACGUGUAGCCGGUCUGAGAGUACCUGAAGAAAAAGCAUCGGCUAACUCCGUGCCAGCAGCCGCGGUAAUACGGAGGAUGCGAGUGUUAUCCGGAUUUAUUGGGUUUAAAGGGUGCGUAGGCGGAAUGCCAAGUCAGCGGUAAAAUCGCGGGGCUCAACCUCGCUCCGCCGUUGAAACUGGCGUUCUUGAGUGGGCGAGAAGUAUGCGGAAUGCGUGGUGUAGCGGUGAAAUGCAUAGAUAUCACGCAGAACUCCGAUUGCGAAGGCAGCAUACCGGCGCCCAACUGACGCUGAAGCACGAAAGCGUGGGUAUCGAACAGGAUUAGAUACCCUAGUAGUC